AACGAACGCUGGCGGCAUGCCUAACACAUGCAAGUCGAACGAAGUCUUCGGACUUAGUGGCGCACGGGUGCGUAACGCGUGGGAAUCUGCCCUUGGGUGCGGAAUAACUUCUCGAAAGGGAUGCUAAUACCGCAUAAUGUCGUAAGACCAAAGAUUUAUCGCCCAAGGAUGAGCCCGCGUAAGAUUAGCUAGUUGGUGGGGUAAAAGCCUACCAAGGCGACGAUCUUUAGCUGGUCUGAGAGGAUGAUCAGCCACACUGGGACUGAGACACGGCCCAGACUCCUACGGGAGGCAGCAGUGGGGAAUAUUGCGCAAUGGCGAAAGCCUGACGCAGCGACGCCGCGUGGGUGAUGAA
rnacentral:rRNA from 1 species